rnacentral:rRNA from 1 species
UAAGGAAUAUUGGUCAAUGGACGCAAGUCUGAACCAGCCAUGCCGCGUGGAGGAUGAAGGUCCUCUGGAUUGUAAACUUCUUUUAUCUGGGACGAAACACUUCUUUUCUAAGAGGCCUGACGGUACCAGAUGAAAAAGCACCGGCUAACUACGUGCCAGCAGCCGCGGUAAUACGUAGGGUGCGAGCGUUAAUCGGAAUUACUGGGCGUAAAGGGUGCGCAGGCGGUCUUGCAAGUCAGAUGUGAAAGCCCCGGGCUUAACCUGGGAAUUGCGUUUGAAACUACAAGGCUAGAGUGCAGCAGAGGGGAGUGGAAUUCCAUGUGUAGCAGUGAAAUGCGUAGAGAUGUGGAAGAACACCGAUGGCGAAGGCAGCUCCCUGGGUUGACACUGACGCUCAUGCACGAAAGCGUGGGGAGCAAACA